rnacentral:pre_miRNA from 1 species
ACAACAUUCGGACCGUCGGUCUACCGAGUAAUUUAACUCGCUUCGUGGAAGAUCUUCCCGUUAUCGU